GACGAACGCUGGCGGCGUGCUUAACACAUGCAAGUCGAACGGGAGGAAAAGAGAAGCUUGCUUCUUUUGAAUCUAGUGGCAAACGGGUGAGUAACACGUAAACAACCUGCCUUCAGGAUGGGGACAACAGACGGAAACGACUGCUAAUACCGAAUGUGUUCCGGAGACCGCAUGAUUUCCGGAAGAAAGGAUGGCCUCUAUUUAUAAGCUAUCGCCUGAAGAGGGGUUUGCGUCUGAUUAGGCAGUUGGUGAGGUAACGGCCCACCAAACCUACGAUCAGUAGCCGGUCUGAGAGGAUGAACGGCCACACUGGAACUGAGACACGGUCCAGACUCCUACGGGAGGCAGCAGUGGGGAAUCUUCCGCAAUGGACGAAAGUCUGACGGAGCAACGCCGCGUGAGUGAUGACGGCCUCGGUUGUUAAGGACUCUGUGAUCGGGACGAAGUGGCGUGGUAUGCUAAUACCAUAAUCAGAGUGACGGUA
rnacentral:rRNA from 1 species